rnacentral:rRNA from 1 species
AACGAACGCUGGCGGCAUGCCUAACACAUGCAAGUCGAACGAGACCUUCGGGUCUAGUGGCGCACGGGUGCGUAACGCGUGGGAACCUGCCCUUAGGUUCGGAAUAACUCCCCGAAAGGGGUGCUAAUACCGGAUAAUGUCUUCGGACCAAAGAUUUAUCGCCUUUGGAUGGGCCCGCGUUGGAUUAGCUAGUUGGUAGGGUAGAAGCCUACCAAGGCGACGAUCCAUAGCUGGUCUGAGAGGAUGAUCAGCCACACUGGGACUGAGACACGGCCCAGACUCCUACGGGAGGCAGCAGUGGAGAAUAUUGGACAAUGGGCGAAAGCCUGAUCCAGCAAUGCCGCGUGAGUGAUGAAGGCCUUAGGGUUGUAAAGCUCUUUUACCCGGGAUGAUAACGACAGUACCGGGAGAAUAAGCGCCGGCUAACGCC